UGUUGGCAUUUCAGUAUCUAAAGGGAGACUAUAAGAAAGCAGAAGACAGAUUAUUUUCUUUAGCAGGGUCUAUUGUGAUAGGAAAAAGGGGAAUUGUUUCAAACAAUGGAGGAAUUCAGUGACACACUUUUGCUUCAUACACACUGCCAUAUCAGGUGCCAUUUUGUCAGACUACCCCUCUGCUGUCACUUGUCUCAUGGCAAUGAAGUAUAAUGGAAUACUGGGGGGAAAGUUUAGCCUCUACUGUCAUAUCCCUAAAAUCUGCCUCUGAUGUCAUGGCCAACGUCUGGAGCAGCCCUUGUAUAUCACGAUUAUCUAGUUAUAUCACAAUACCUUUGAAAUACUACUAGCUGAGCUCAGUGCUGUGUUGGACACUGUAUAUACACAUACAUGUUAGUAUAUAUAUUUACAUAUAUAUUAAUGAAGUUUUAGCUACUUUUUCUCUGUAAGAACAUGCUACCAAGGACUGUCUUGUCAUUGUGAAUGUUUGACUUGUAGCAGCAAUUGCAAGCUCUUGUUAUUGCACAAGCCAUGGAUAUAGGAAACACCAUUGCCAUUUUAUAUGCAGGGAGCUGAAAAUGCCAAAUGGAGUGAAGAGAAGAAUAAAACUCUUUUUUACACCUUACAUUACAUUUUACAGAUGUUUCAUGAUCUCUCAUGAUCCAUAAACUUUGAUGCUGUUAAAUAAUGCUUUCCUGCGAACGAUUUCAGUACAGGUUUCCUGCUGUUAAGCUCUGAAAGUGAGUUUUCGUUUCACAUUGUAGCAGCAAUGCUAAGUCACAGCUUGAAGCAGUGAUUGAGCACCUGGUGGGAAGGCAGGGCCAACCCAGGGGAGCUCAGGUGCAAGCAGUGCAGCUGAGUGAUGGGGAGGGGUAGAGCCAGGAUCUUUCUCUUCCCAGAUCUCAUUGAAGGGCUGGCAGUGGAGGUGAAGCUUCUUGCUAGAGAUCUCUGAUUUACUGGAGGCCUUCUAAUGCUUGAACUUAAAGGAGAUCUCGUGCUCAGCAUGAGCAUCUUGAUGGAAGCUGGCAGCUGAAUGGUGAGGCAGACUUGAGGCUGCUGUCAACAUGCAUCAUUUGAGCAGGCAUUUCCAAACUGUGCAUUACUCCAACUAUACAACAACGUGUGUGCCUGGCAGCUGGGUCUCACAGCUGGAGCAUGAAGUUGAUCCCUUCGGGAUCGUGACAUGUUUUACUUAGAAUCAGUUAUUAGUGAUGUCAUACAGCAAUUACAAGAGGCAUGAAGUAGACCUGCAUGUAUUCCUAACAUCUGG